rnacentral:misc_RNA from 1 species
AAACCAAUCCAGCUUGCUGGGUCUUGGGCUUUCGCCUCUGGGCGGGCCUCAAAAUCAGUGGCGGUGCUGCCAGGCUCUAAGCGUAGUAAUUCUUUUCGCUACAGGGUCCUGGUGGAGGCUUGCCAACAACCCUAAAUAUUUCAAA